CCUACGGGUGGCAGCAGUCGAGAAUCAUUCACAAUGGGGGAAACCCUGAUGGUGCGACGCCGCGUGGGGGAAUGAAGGUCUUCGGAUUGUAAACCCCUGUCAUGUGGGAGCAAAUUAAAAAGAUAGUACCACAAGAGGAAGAGACGGCUAACUCUGUGCCAGCAGCCGCGGCAAUACAGAGGUCUCAAGCGUUGUUCGGAAUCACUGGGCGUAAGGCGUGCGUAGGCUGUUUCGUAAGUCGUGUGUGAAAGGCGCGGGCUCAACCCGCGGACGGCACAAGAUACUGCGAGACUAGAGUAAUGGAGGGGGAACCGGAAUUCUCGGUGUAGCAGUGAAAUGCGUAGAUAUCGAGAGGAACACUCGUGGCGAAGGCGGGUUCCUGGACAUUAACUGACGCUGAGGCACGAAGGCCAGGGGAGCGAAAGGGAUUAGAUACCCCAGUAGUC
rnacentral:rRNA from 1 species